rnacentral:misc_RNA from 1 species
GAAGGAUCAUUGCACACACAAGUUGCAGCCAACCCGCGGCGAACGAACACAUUGUCCCCCUCGGUGGGUCGCGGCGCCUCGCGGCGGCGCGGCCGGCCACCUCCCUUCGUCACGAGCUUCGUCACGAGCUUCGUCACGAACUCGGGGCGUCGGGUUUCCACGCGAUGCCUUCACCUUGACCGAAUGACUGAGUCCCUUACUUGACAGGAGUGAGUUCCGUCCCCCUUGGCUUGCCUUGGCUCGCGAAGGGGGCCGGCGCUGGUUACCUUGCGAGUUGAAACAUAACCUAAAACAACUCUCAGCAACGGAUAUCUUGGCUCUUGCAACGAUGAAGAACGCAGCGAAAUGCGAUACGUAGUGUGAAUUGCAGAAUUCCGCGAAUCAUCGAGUCUUUGAACGCAAGUUGCGCCCGAGGCUUGUCCAAGGGCAUUUCCGCUAGAGCGUCACCGCGCCCCCCACCGAUCCACUCCCACGGCGAGUCGGGUCGAGUGAAAGUGGCCAUCCCGGUGCGCCUUCUGAGGAAGGCCCUAAGGGUUGGCUGAAAUGGAGGGAAUUGGGCCGCCGUGGUGACGCAGUCCGCGAUCGGGUGAUCCGAGCUCUUCCGGGAGCCCGGACUUUUUCUAAGUGCGUGGCUGCGUCCCCCAGUUGGUUGUGGUUACCUCAUGCAGGUCGAGCGCGCCCCCCGCGGCGCGCGUCACGCAUCAGACCUCUAAUCGGAAAAGACUACCCGCUGAGU